UACAGAGGUCCCAAGCGUUGUUCGGAUUCAUUGGGCGUAAAGGGUGUGUAGGUGGCGCCGUAAGUCAGGUGUGAAAUUUCGGAGCUUAACUCCGAAACUGCAUUUGAUACUGCGGUGCUUGAGGACUGGAGAGGAGACUGGAAUUUACGGUGUAGCAGUGAAAUGCGUAGAGAUCGUAAGGAAGACCAGUGGCGAGGGCGGGUCUCUGGACAGUUCCUGACACUGAGGCACGAAGGCCAGGGGAGCAAACGGG
rnacentral:misc_RNA from 1 species